rnacentral:misc_RNA from 1 species
GAUGAAGAACGUAGCGAAAUGCGAUAAGUAAUGUGAAUUGCAGAAUUCAGUGAAUCAUCGAAUCUUUGAACGCACAUUGCGCCCGCCGGCACUCCGGCGGGCAUGCCUGUCCGAGCGUCAUUUCAACCCUCAGGCCCGAACCCCCCCGGGGGGGGGCGGGCCUGGUGUUGGGGCUCGGGGUCCGCGAGGCCCCCGUCCCCUAAAUCCAGUGGCGGUCGCGCCGCACCCUCCCCUGCGUAGUAGCACACCUCGCACCGGAGAGCAGCGCGUCCACGCCGUGAAACCCCCAACUUACCAAGGUUGACCUCGGAUCAGGUAGGAAUACCCGCUGAACUUAAGCAUAUCAAUAAGCGGAGGA